rnacentral:rRNA from 1 species
GAUGAACGCUGGCGGCGUGCCUAAUACAUGCAAGUCGAGCGAACGGACGAGAAGCUUGCUUCUCUGAUGUUAGCGGCGGACGGGUGAGUAACACGUGGAUAACCUACCUAUAAGACUGGGAUAACUUCGGGAAACCGUAGCUAAUACCGGAUAAUAUUUUGAACCGCAUGGUUCAAAAGUGAAAGACGGUCUUGCUGUCACUUAUAGAUGGAUCCGCGCUGCAUUAGCUAGUUGGUAAGGUAACGGCUUACCAAGGCAACGAUGCAUAGCCGACCUGAGAGGGUGAUCGGCCACACUGGAACUGAGACACGGUCCAGACUCCUACGGGAGGCAGCAGUAGGGAAUCUUCCGCAAUGGGCGAAAGCCCGACGGAGCAACGCCGCGUGAGUGAUGAAGGUCUUCGGAUCGUAAAACUCUGUUAUUAGGGAAGGACAUAUGUGUAAGUAACUGUGCACAUCUUGACGGUACCUAAUCAGAAAGCCACGGCUAACUACGUG